rnacentral:tRNA from 2 species
CAUAGGGUGGCUGAAAUUUAAGCGGUAGCCUCUUAAGCUUUCUUAUGGUAAUUACCCCUUAUGG